rnacentral:misc_RNA from 1 species
CUUUAGCCCAAUAACUCUCAAGCCUUCGGAGAAAUCCACAAUUUCCUGAUCAAGCUGUUUAUAAGUCAUGGUUGUAGGAGGAUCAUGAUAUGGGUCCACGACUGCUACACGAUCACCAAAUUUCUCUGCUGAAGUCCGCCAAAUGUCGGGAACGGUUCUCCACUCUGUCAAGGGCAACCCACCAUUACCUGACAGCAAUUCACUUUCCAGAAAAGGCGAGCACUUCCUGAUAUCCACUUCUGCAGUCUUAGACUGACAGUGAACUCGACCAAGUUUUCGACUUUUCGAAACAAGAAUUGUUACCAAUUGCUGCUGAGACCAAAACUGGCUAACCCCAUGUCUUCCCCUACAUGGGGUAGCAAAAAGAUUGGAUUUCAAACUCAUAGUAGUAGUAAUCAUCACUGGUAAUCUAAAAUUUUCUUUGAAAAAG